rnacentral:rRNA from 1 species
ACGGUGCUGAAGCAACAAAUGCCCUGCUUCCAGGAAAAGCCUCUAAGCCUCAGGUAACACGAAAUCGUACCCCAAACCGACACAGGUGGUCAGGUAGAGAAUACCAAGGCGCUUGAGAGAACUCGGGUGAAGGAACUAGGCAAAAUGGUGCCGUAACUUCGGGAGAAGGCACGCUGACACGUAGGUGAAGUGGUUUACCCAUGGAGCUGAAGUCAGUCGAAGAUACCAGCUGGCUGCAACUGUUUAUUAAAAACACAGCACUGUGCAAACACGAAAGUGGACGUAUACGGUGUGACGCCUGCCCGGUGCCGGAAGGUUAAUUGAUGGGGUCAGCGCAAGCGAAGCUCCUGAUCGAAGCCCCGGUAAACGGCGGCCGUAACUAUAACGGUCCUAAGGUAGCGAAAUUCCUUGUCGGGUAAGUUCCGACCUGCACGAAUGGCGUAAUGAUGGCCAGGCUGUCUCCACCCGGGACUCAGUGAAAUUGAACUCGCUGUGAAGAUGCAGUGUACCCGCGGCAAGACGGAAAGACCCCGUGAACCUUUACUAUAGCUUGACACUGAACACUGGUCCUUGAUGUGCAGGAUAGGUGGGAGGCUUUGAAGUGUGGACGCCAGUCUGCAUGGAGCCGUCCUUGAAAUACCACCCUUUAAUGGCUGGUGUUCUAACGUGGGCCCGUGAACCGGGUUGCGGACAGUGUCUGGUGGGUAGUUUGACUGGGGCGGUCUCCUCCUAAAGAGUAACGGAGGAGCACGAAGGUUGGCUAAUCCUGGUCGGACAUCAGGAGGUUAGUGCAAUGGCAUAAGCCAGCUUGACUGCGAGCGUGACGGCGCGAGCAGGUGCGAAAGCAGGUCAUAGUGAUCCGGUGGUUCUGAAUGGAAGGGCCAUCGCUCAACGGAUAAAAGGUACUCCGGGGAUAACAGGCUGAUACCGCCCAAGAGUUCAUAUCGACGGCGGUGUUUGGCACCUCGAUGUCGGCUCAUCACAUCCUGGGGCUGAAGUAGGUCCCAAGGGUAUGGCUGUUCGCCAUUUAAAGUGGUACGCGAGCUGGGUUUAGAACGUCGUGAGACAGUUCGGUCCCUAUCUGCCGUGGGCGCUGGAAGAUUGAGGGGGGCUGCUCCUAGUACGAGAGGACCGGAGUGGACGCAUCACUGGUGUUCGGGUUGUCAUGCCAAUGGCACUGCCCGGUAGCUACAUGCGGAAGAGAUAAGUGCUGAAAGCAUCUAAGCACGAAACUUGCCCCGAGAUGAAUCUUCCCUGAGCCUUUAAGGCUCCUGAAGGAACGUUGAAGACGACGACGUUGAUAGGCCGGGUGUGUAAGCGCAGCGAUGCGUUGAGCUAACCGGUACUAAUGAACCGUGAGGCUUAACC